CGAGCGUUGUCCGGAGUUACUGGGCGGAAAGGGUGCGCAGGCGGCGGUUCGCGUGGAUAGGUGAAAUCUCCUGGCUUACCUGGGAGGAUGGUAUCCAGACGGGAUCGCUUGAGGGUCGGAGAGGGGCGUGGAAUUCCGGGGGGAGCGGUGAAAUGCGUAGAGAUCCGGAGGAACACCGACGGCGAAGGCAGCUCGCUGGGACGUGACUGACGCUGAGACGCGAAAGCGUGGGGAGCAAACAGG
rnacentral:rRNA from 1 species